GAAAUGCGAUAAGUAGUGUGAAUUGCAGACGCUUUGAACGCCAAAAUUUCGAACGCACAUUGCGCCAUAGGAGUUCUACCCUAUGGCACAUCUGGUUGAGGGUCGUGAUCAAAUACAGCUAGGAUUGGGCUGAAAUAGAUCUAAUUGAUGGAUCAUCAGGUCGGCACAACCUGCUUAGUUGUCGACGGUGUUCUAUCAUCAUGCUUUAGAGGG
rnacentral:misc_RNA from 1 species